UAUACCUUCAUUUCUUCAAAAACUACUGGAUUUCUGUAAUUAAUAUCAGGUUGUUUGACGGUGAACUGAUGUAAAUAAUACUGCCCUCUUUCUUCAUUCCAUUCCCAAGCUGAUUUUCCAAAACGUGAAAUCUGCAAUAGUUAUUAGGUGGAUGACGUUUUCCUCUGAUAUAUUUCGCGUCUUUCCAAACAUAGUAGUCGGUAUAAGGAGGAAUUCUUUGAACAGAUUUUGUGAACCAUUCGUGCUCAUCACUCGUAUGAUUAGAUAUGUAGAUAUUUACCCAUUGCGUGAGCUUUGUGAAGAAAACGAUCGAAGUCGUCCAUGGUUCCGAAAAUGGGAUCAAUUUCUCUAAAAUUAGACACAUCGUAUCCAAAAUCAGCCAUUGGAGAUUUGAGAACAGGAGAUAACCAAAGACAUCCUACGCCUAGUUUCUUCAAGUCACCGGUUCCAUCUGCAUUUCCAUCUUUGAACGAUCUCGGAUAAAUUUGGUAAAUUACUUCGGUCUGCCACCAAUCCAACUGGUUCUUUUUUUCUGCACCAUGAAGAGAUGAAAAACAACAAACCAACACCAAAAAGUUCAAUAAUAAACUCAUUUUGAAGACAGACAAGAACUACUUCGGUGGCAAUAUAAUGGAACCGUUGUAUCGACGGAAAUUACCUCAUGUUACAUACAAAGAAAACGUGUACGCCUACUGUAUUUUAUAUAUUUUCAAAUAUAUUUUUUUUUCUUUGCCA